GGAUGAAGAACGUAGCGAAAUGCGAUAAGUAAUGUGAAUUGCAGAAUUCAGUGAAUCAUCGAAUCUUUGAACGCACAUUGCGCCCCCUGGUAUUCCGGGGGGCAUGCCUGUUCGAGCGUCAUUUCACCACUCAAGCCUCGCUUGGUAUUGGGCAACGCGGUCCGCCGCGUGCCUCAAAUCGACCGGCUGGGUCUUCUGUCCCCUAAGCGUUGUGGAAACUAUUCGCUAAAGGGUGCUCGGGAGGCUACGCCGUAAAACAAACCCAUUUCUAAGGUUGACCUCGGAUCAGGUAGGGAUACCCGCUGAACUUAAGCAUAUCAAUAAGCGGAGGA
rnacentral:misc_RNA from 1 species